rnacentral:lncRNA from 13 species
AUGUCCGUUAGUCUCUCAUAUGGAAUUCCUGUCAUCACAUUUUCGUUGACUAAAAUAGAAAUGAAUUUGUCGCAGUUAUCGUUUUUUUUUUUCAGGUCAUUUUUUUAUUAUCGUCAUUCGUUUUUGUCAGGAAAAAUAGCAGGGCAGCCAGCUCUGCAUGUCCCCUACAGGCCGCCAGCGUCAGCGGAGACACCGCGGAGUCAGCAGGUAUGUUGACCUCUCCCCCGCUGUCCAACAGCAGCCGGUGUGUCUGUGUGUGUACUCACCAUACAAGCCACCAUGAGUGUUGUGUGCAUCUAAUCAGCCCCAGCUUCUAACAAACAGGAAGUGCACCAUGUCCAGGUGCCCUGUGUGUGUGGACAUGAGGAACAAUGAUAAACAAUGCUCUGGGUGCUUCUUCCCUACAAUGACAUUUCCUGUUUAACAUUCACUCGAUGUCAACAGAAGUGACAACAUUAGAUCACUAAUGCAAUGUGUCAGAUGUUUCCCGUGUGGUUCUGUGUUAUACAGGGAGGGAGCAGAGGCACACCUUUGCUGAUUAGAAACUGUACAGUACUCUUGCUGCAUUCAUCACCUCCCUCUGAUUCAUGUUCCUGAAAGACGAACAGGAAGACAGACUGAAAGACAGGAGUGAGUAAAGUGGACACACGGAAACACACGAGCAGCAAUGUAUCCCGAGAUAAAUGGCAUAGGCAGCAUGUGCAUGACUGAUUACAUUAAAGGUGUUAUACAUAUCAUUUCUCAGAAUUUCUCCCCUACAGUUUGUGGAAGCUAGUUGAAUUGCAUCAGCACUAGGUUGCUAUCUAAACAAAUCUCCCCCUCCCCCGUAACAUGGCAGAAACUUCCGGUUUUGGUCCACCAGCUUCAAACAGCUACAAAACACAUAUUGUUAUUGAACAUAUAUUUCACAGAUGGUACAAUGAUUCCCUGCACUAUUCUGUGCUUGUUUUCUAACAUAAACGGAAAUUGAGCGAACAGUGUGGAAUUUUACCAACCAGGAAAUGACAGUGAUUUAUUUCUACAUUGGCCGUUUGCCCUAAUUGGCCACUUGCCCCACAUUGGCCACUUGCCCCACAAUUGCCACUUGCCCCAGUUUCCACUAGAUAAAACAUCCACAAAACCAAAACAGCUUAUUUUGCCGGCCGGUGGGACAAAUCAAUAGGCCAAUAUCACAGCCAAUCAGAACACUGAAGUGAUACUGUGAAACACUAUCAUUCCAGUAUUACUGCAGAUAUAUUAUGGACAUUUUCUGCUCACAAGCUAUGUCAGGUAACCUGAGGUCAGACUAGGGUAGCUAGGUAGCUACAGCAGCUAUGGAUAAGGGAAAUGUUCAACACAGCAAAGAAUGACUAUGAUUAAAUUAAUGGAGCUUACCGUCUAAUUAGCAAGCUAUGUUUUUGGACACCCCUUCAGAUGAGUGGAUUCGGCUAUUCAGCCACACCCGUUGCUGACAAGCACACAGCCAUGCAAUCUCCAUAGACAAACACUGGCAGUAAAAUGGCCUUAAUGAAGAGCUCAGUGACCUUCAACAUGGCACCGUCAUAGAGGAGGCCACCUUUCUAGCAAGUCAGUUAGUCAAAUUAUUGCCCUGCUAAAACUAUCCCGUUCAUCUGUAAUGUUAUUGUGAAGUGGAAACAGCUCAACCACAAAGUGGUAGGCCCCACAAGCUCACAGAAUGGGACCGCCGAGUGCUGAAGCACGUAGCCAGUAAAAUUUGUCUGUCCUUGGUUGCAACACUCAUUUUGGAGUUCCAAACUGCCUCUGGAAGCAACGUCAGCACAAGAAUUGUUUGUCAGGAACUUGCCUUUCUUUGAUUGCUGAAAGCCAUACUUUUUCAAUAAACAUUAAUCAAAUACAACCACAGACUGUUUGCUCGUUGCUGUUGCUCUAAGAAGGCAAUUGUUCCAAUUUGUAUUUGAUUAACGUUUAUUGGAAAAGUAUGGAUUUCAGAAAAGAAAGAAAGGCACACCACUGCAGAGGACACUUUUGUAAAAGUUAAACGAGUAUAUUUAUAUAAUGAAUAUGAGUUUGGAGGGCUAAAACUAUUCAAUAUCAAAGCAUUACACCUGUCUCCUAAAGCUUCUAUUAUUCUGAAACUGUAACUAAAUGCAAACUGGUUUUCCAGUAGUCUACUAAGAGAGAC